GUGGGUUUUGGAAUGAUUUUUGCAGAGAUAGUCACGACCUUAGUCACACAAGAGCGAUGGCAAGAUUUUCACCCAAGCCAUCUGACUUGGAACCCAUGGAUUAACCAACUGCCACUGGAGGCAAAUCCAGAGACCAAGGGAGCAGUUUAUACAGAAACAGAUGCCGGCAUUAACCCACAGGGAGUUAUUGUUACAGACUGAAGAAUAGAAAAAGAAAAAGCCAAAUAGAGCCUUAUUC
rnacentral:lncRNA from 1 species